UAGAGUUUGAUCCUGGCUCAGAUUGAACGCUGGCGGCAGGCCUAACACAUGCAAGUCGAGCGGCAGCGGGAAAGUAGCUUGCUACUUUUGCCGGCGAGCGGCGGACGGGUGAGUAAUGCCUGGGGAUCUGCCCGGUCGAGGGGGAUAACUACUGGAAACGGUAGCUAAUACCGCAUACGCCCUACGGGGGAAAGCAGGGGACCUUCGGGCCUUGCGCGAUUGGAUGAACCCAGGUGGGAUUAGCUAGGUGGUGAGGUAAUGGCUCACCAAGGGCGACGAUCCCUAGUUGGUUUGGGAAGGUGAUCAGCCACUCUGGAAUUGAGACACGACCCAGACCCCUACGGGAGGCAGCAGUGGGGAAUAUGCACAAUGGGGGAAAACCCUGAUGCAGCCAUGCCGCGUUGUGAAAGAAGGCCUUCGGGUUGUAAAGCACUUUCAGCGAGGAGGAAAGGUCGGUAGCUAAUAACUGCCAGCUGUGACGUUACUCGCAGAGGAAGCACCGGCUAACUCCGUGCCAGCAGCCGCGGUAAUACGGAGGGUGCAAGCGUUAAUCGGAAUUACUGGGCGUAAAGCGCACGCAGGCGGUUGGAUAAGUUAGAUGUGAAAGCCCCGGGCUCAACCUGGGAAUUGCAUUUAAAACUGUCCAGCUAGAGUCUUGUAGAGGGGGGUAGAAUUCCAGGUGUAGCGGUGAAAUGCGUAGAGAUCUGGAGGAAUACCGGUGGCGAAGGCGGCCCCCUGGACAAAGACUGACGCUCAGGUGCGAAAGCGUGGGGAGCAAACAGGAUUCGAUACCCUGGUAGUCCACGCCGU
rnacentral:rRNA from 1 species